CAAGUCGAACGAGGAUCACCGGUGUAGCAAUACAUUGUUGAUCCUAGUGGCGCACGGGUGAGUAACACGUGGGUGACCUGCCCUUGAGCUCGGGAUACCCCCUCGAAAGGGGGGCUAAUACCGGAUACGUUCCUUGGUCGAAAGAUCGGGGAGGAAAGGUGGCGCAAGCUGCCGCUCUUGGAGGGGCUCGCGGCCUAUCAGCUAGUUGGCGGGGUAACGGCCCACCAAGGCUAUGACGGGUAGCUGGUCUGAGAGGACGACCAGCCACACGGGGACUGAGACACGGCCCCGACUCCUACGGGAGGCAGCAGUGGGGAAUUUUCCGCAAUGGGCGAAAGCCUGACGGAGUGACGCCGCGUGUGGGACGAAGGCCUUCGGGUCGUAAACCACUGUCAGUGGGAAAGAUGGGUGUCGGGGCUAAUACCUCCGGCAUCUGACGGUACCUGCAGAGGAAGCCCCGGCCAACUCUGUGCCAGCAGCCGCGGUAAGACAGAGGGGGCAAGCGUUGCUCGGAAUUACUGGGCGUAAAGGGCGCGUAGGCGGGAUGGCAAGUCGGUCGUGAAAUCCCUCGGCUCAACCGAGGAACGUCGAUCGAUACUGCUGUUCUUGAGGAUUGCAGAGGAGACUGGAAUUCCCGGUGUAGCGGUGAAAUGUGUAGAGAUCGGGAGGAACACCGGUGGCGAAGGCGGGUCUCUGGGCAAUUCCUGACGCUGAGGCGCGAAAGCGUGGGGAGCAAACGGGAUUAGAUACCCCGGUAGUCCACGCUGUAAACGAUGACGACUAGGUGUGGGGGGGGUUCAGUCCCUUCCGCGCCGCAGCUAACGCAUUAAGUCGUCCGCCUGGGGAGUACGGCCGCAAGGUUGAAACUCAAAGGAAUUGACGGGGGCCCGCACAAGCCGGUGGA
rnacentral:rRNA from 1 species